rnacentral:rRNA from 1 species
GACGAACGCUGGCGGCGUGCCUAAUACAUGCAAGUUGAGCGCCGAAGGUUGGUACUUGUCCCAACUGGAUGAGCAGCGAACGGGUGAGUAACGCGUGGGGAAUCUGCCUUUGAGCGGGGGACAACAUUUGGAAACGAAUGCUAAUACCGCAUAAAAACUUUACACACAAGUUUUAAGUUUGAAAGAUGCAAUUGCAUCACUCAAAGAUGAUCCCGCGUUGUAUUAGCUAGUUGGUGAGGUAAAGGCUCACCAAGGCGAUGAUACAUAGCCGACCUGAGAGGGGGAUCGGCCACAUUGGGAACGAGACACGGCACAAACUCCUACGGGAGGCAGCAGUAGGGAAUCUUCAGAAAUGGACGAAAGUCUGACCGAGCAACGCCGCGUGAGUGAAGAAGGUUUUCGGAUCGUAAAACUCUGUUGGUAGAGAAGAACGUUGGUGAGAGUGGAAAGCUCAUCAAGUGACGGUAACUACCCAGAAAGGGACGGCUAACUACGUG